rnacentral:tmRNA from 1 species
GGGGAUGAUCCGGUUUCGACGGGGAUCACGGAGGCAGGAUAAGCGAGCCGCGGACCCUGUACCGCGUAAAAACGGGGAAAAACAAUAACUGACAAUAGCAAUUUUGCUUUCGCGGCUUAAUGCCGCGCGUCGGACCUGAGCGCCUGCGGCUCAGAUCUCCGGCGUCAUUUUCGCAGGGAACGAGUGCCGCUUAAGCUUUGCGGCGGUAUCCGUAAUUAUGAAGCUACUCUCCCGGCAGGUUUUCUGUGAUCGGCUGACGGGGGGAAUUUAAACCACGGAAUGCGCUCGGAGAAAGUUCUGUUGACGGUUCUUCGGACAGGGGUUCAACUCCCCUCAUCUCCACU